CACCCAGAAGUGUGCUAUUCUACCAGCUAUUUGGUAUCUCUAGGGCAACAAACUUGACAAUCAAGAUCAGUUACCACAUGCCUCUCUCCUCGAUAAAGAGCAAGCUGCGAAGGGCGAUUACAGCUGGACACAGGUGAGUGAGCCAGAAGGAACUGACCAGCCUUAGGAAGGAACCGUCACAGCUAGGCCAUGCUCCAGAUAUUAAUUUCUGAGUCACUGGCCAGGAGCGAGAUCCCAGUGUAAGAGUCCCCUGUGAUGUAACGUCUGGAAGAAUUCCACAGAGAAAGAAGUCAGAAACUUCUACACAGCUGACAGAUCAAGAUCACCAGGGCUGGGAAGUUUUCUCAGGAGUAAAGUGUGAGGAGCGGAGUUUAAAUCCCAGCAGCCGUGUAAAAGCUGCUGCAGGAGCAUGUCUGCAAUCUCAGGCCUGGGGGAAGUGAGCAAAGACAGCAGCUGCUGAGAACUUACUGGGCAGCCGUGGAGACAAAGUGCCAAGCUCCAGAUUCCGUGGGAGCCCCAGGAAAUAAGGUGAAAGAACAAGAUGUAGAAAGAACUCUCAGCUCCCUCAGCAUCCUGUCUGCCUGCCUUCAAGCUUUCGUGCUUCCCACCAUGAUGACAACGGACUGAACCUCAGAAUCUACAAGUCAGCCCCAAUUAAAUGUUGUUUUAGUCAUGGUGUCUUUUCACAGCAAUGAAAAUUCUAAGAUAGAAGUUACUAACAAGGACUAGGGUAUUGCUGUGAUAGGCCUGACCAUGCUUUUGUGGAUUUUGUAACUUUGGAUUUGGAAAGCAGUGGAAUGCUUUAAGUGGGACUUAAUGGGACAGCCUAGUAGGAAUAGGGAGGACAUUGGUGCUAAGGGUGAACUCUGCGGGUCUGGCUCAAGAGAUUUCAGAGGAGAAUAACUUGAGUAUGUGGCCUGGAGACUGCUUUUGUGAUACUUUGGUGAGGAAUGUAGGUACUUUUUGCCCUCGUUUGAAGUGUCUGCCUGAGGCUCAAGUGAAGAGAUUCAAAUUAAUUGCAAUGACAGAAGUCUCAGAAAAGGGGCAAGUCCAAUCUUCAUCAUCAGGAUAUCUUCAAUCAGCAACCAGCAAAAAACAGCAAAACAGCAAAUGCAACAGCAGGAACCAGCAACAGCAGGAAGAGCAGCAGCCACUACCUCCUCUGGUGUUUAUAUACUGCUCUGGUAUUUAUAUUCUCUCUCAAGAAUUCCUAGAAAUCUACUGUCUUCAGCUGGCAAAUCACAUCCCUGCCAGAGCACGAGACAAAUCAUAGUCAGCUGCUGUGGACAAUCUGAAGCAGACCCACAUCCCACCCCUGGAAUUAAAACAAAAACACAUUCAUAGAACAUAACUAGGGGAAAAAAAACCAAUACAGUGAGCUUUGGGAUGGCCAGCUUUCUUACACGGAGGCUCAGAGCUCCACAGUAAGAGAGGGUGGUGGGAGUGGUGACAGGCAGAAAGACUGUCAUCUUUCAUGACUGCCUGCAUAAGAAGCUAAGCCCCAGGGAUAGAGGCUCAGCCUCUUUAUGAAAGAAUAGCAUGUCUCUAAAAGAACAUGUUUAGAGGGAAAGACUAUUAGAGCCAUAUUUUGGAAAAUAUAAUGAGACACAAUAUUUUUUUGUGGAUACAGUUUUAUAAUAAGGGUGGUAGCAGGAAAUGUCUCCUGACCACCACCUGCUAUCCUGAUGAGGGAACCAGCUGCUAUUUGGAUGCCUGUGGUAAAUACCACCCACUUUGAUGCCAUCACUCUGAUAGCCCAGACUCACUUACAACCCCUUCACUGGGGAAAGAGGGAUUUUUGGUAUUACAGCUGCCAUCAUUGCAGCCAUUAUUGCAGGCAUUACAGGGGCAACAACAGCUACUGUUGCCCAGACCGCCACUAUGAGAGGCUGUCAACGCUGUAGUCUCUAAGUCAGCUGAGGUGCUACAGGCAUAGGAGCUACUAAAUCAACAUCUUUAUGAGGCCAUCCACAUUUUACAACAACAGAUUGACUGGCAGAAGAGCUGGCUCUUGUUAGGGACAUGUGUCUCAAUAGCUUAAAGAUACCUAGUCAGACAAAUUCCUAUUCCUGAAGGCAAGAAAACCACUCACUUGCCCAAUUGGUGGUAGAUAUAACCACGUCCAUAACCAACUUUGGAAGCGGGAACCAGGGCUCCUAUGACAGAAAAGAAGCAGGCUUCUCUCUGCAAUUCAUAAACACCGACAGGAAUAUGUUGCUUUUCCUAAGCCCUUCGCUGUCUUUCCAAGAAGAAUUUUUUUGUCCUUAACCAAAUGUGAAAUGCACAUUUUGAGCACAAAGAAUCAAAGCUCCAACAGCAAACUGACAUGACAUCCUUUACAGGAAGUAAAAUAUUUAAAGACAGAGUCAGAGUCUUCUAUUCCCCUCCCCCCAGGAAGAAACCCUUUAAUAUUCCCAUUAACCUUGAUGUGAAUCACAGCGCUCCUUCUUCCCUGUAGGCAGAUAAUCAUGACUCACCACAGACCCCUGACUGUGGGCUUCAUGUAAUUCUGGCAGCAAAGGCCUUCCCCGGGGGAGCUGUGUGAGGCCAUUGGCUGUGAAAUCUUUACAAAGUCCAGGGAUGGACUAGGAGUAACCCUGGAGCAAGCUUUGCACUGUGUAUCAAAACAAGACUCCACAUUGGGGCAUCCACACUGAGGCCACCUUGUGAACUAGGCCUCACCUUGGAUAAGAAAGAAAUUGCAUUAUUUUUACUUUCAAAUGUGUUAAAGAAUAAAUUUUACUUAAAUAUAUUCUAUAUUCAAUC
rnacentral:lncRNA from 1 species